GAAUUGCUAGUAAUGGCAGGUCAGCAUACUGCCGUGAAUACGUUCCCGGGCCUUGUACACACCGCCCGUCACACCAUGAGAGUUGGGAAUACCCGAAGCCUGUGAGCUAACUUAUAGAGGCAGCAGUCGAAGGUAGAAUCAAUGAUUGGGGUGAAGUCGUAACAAGGUAAC
rnacentral:rRNA from 1 species